UACGGAGGGUGCAAGCGUUAUCCGGAUUCACUGGGUUUAAAGGGCGCGCAGGCGGGCUGGUAAGUCAGUGGUGAAAGCCUUGAGCUUAACUCGAGAACUGCCAUUGAUACUAUCAGUCUUGAAUAUUGUUGAGGUUUGCGGAAUGGGUCAUGUAGCGGUGAAAUGCAUAGAUAUGACCCGGAACACCGAUUGCGAAGGCAGCUCACUAAACUGUAACUGACGCUGAGGCACGAAAGCGUGGGGAGCAAACAGG
rnacentral:rRNA from 1 species